CAGAGGGUGCAAGCGUUGUUCGGAAUUAUUGGGCGUAAAGCGCGUGUAGGCGGCUUUGCAAGUCGGGUGUGAAAGCCCUCAGCUUAACUGAGGAAGUGCGCCCGAAACUGCAGAGCUUGAGUACCGGAGAGGAUGGUGGAAUUCCCCAAGUAGAGGUGAAAUUCGUAGAUAUGGGGAGGAACACCGGUGGCGAAGGCGACCAUCUGGACGGAUACUGACGCUGAGACGCGAAAGCGUGGGUAGCAAACAGGAUUAGAUACCCUGGUAGUCCACGCCGUAAACGAUGAGAACUAGGUGUCGUGGGUGUUGACCCCCGCGGUGCCGUAGCUAACGCAUUAAGUUCUCCGCCUGGGAAGUACGGCCGCAAGGCUA
rnacentral:rRNA from 1 species